GGCUGGUCUGAGUGCAGUGCUGUUUACAACUAAUUGAUCACAAGCAGUUACAGAUUUAUGUGUUCCUCCUCCACUCCCACUACUUCACUCGACUAGCCUUAA
rnacentral:Y_RNA from 1 species